CCCUCUUUCAUUUUGUGAAUACUGUUCAAGUGGAGCACUGACCAGCAGACUGAGGAAAGAAAUUCAGUCAAUGAUGAAUACCAGAGAUGGCAGAAGAGGAUCCAGAAACAAUGGUAAAUGAGCAGAUGGAUGAAGAUCCCGAUCUUUUGUGGACAAAUUCAAACACUGGUGCAAGGCUGCAGCUGGCAGCUGAGAGGAACAGACUUGCAUGUUUGCAGUUUCCAAAGGAAAUGCUGGAGUGAUGCAAGUUCCUGUUCUCUAUCCAAAAAAGGCUCAUUCACGGAGGCUCCCAGGCUGUCAUCGUGGUCAAUAAGCUGUAUGUCAAAGGGCAGCUUUAUCAUGACCAAAACACCACACAAUGGCUGUACUGAUCCUAGCUAGUACUAGGAUAGGUUAUACAUGACCACACUGAGAUUUGUCGCAUGGCAUGUAUGGGAAGUUGGUUUGAAGUAAAAGAGGCUUAAACUUUCUAACCCGUUAAAUGGCAGACAUUAUCUUUCUACAAUUUGGACUCAUUGGUCCGAAACAUCUGUGCACACACUUUCCCACAGUUUCCUCACACAUUCUUAUUUUGCUACAACUCAAAAAACAGAGGUGUAGCCGUACUAAUUAGCAGAAGAAUAAACUUACUGUUAGUAGCUGUUAUUACAGACCCAGAAGGUAG